UACGUAGGGUGCAAGCGUUGUCCGGAAUUAUUGGGCGUAAAGGGCUCGUAGGCGGUCCAUCGCGUCGGGUGUGAAAAGCUGGGGCUUAACCCCAGUCCUGCUUCCGAUACGGGUGGACUAGAGGUAGGUAGGGGAGAACGGAAUUCCUGGUGUAGCGGUGAAAUGCGCAGAUAUCAGGAGGAACACCGGUGGCGAAGGCGGGUCUCUGGGCCGUAACUGACGCUGAGGAGCGAAAGCGUGGGGAGCGAACAGG
rnacentral:rRNA from 1 species